rnacentral:rRNA from 1 species
GUGGGGAAUUUUGGACAAUGGGCGCAAGCCUGAUCCAGCAAUGCCGCGUGCAGGAAGAAGGCCUUCGGGUUGUAAACUGCUUUUGUACGGAACGAAACGGUCCGGGUUAAUACCCUGGGCUAAUGACGGUACCGUAAGAAUAAGCACCGGCUAACUACGUGCCAGCAGCCGCGGUAAUACGUAGGGUGCAAGCGUUAAUCGGAAUUACUGGGCGUAAAGCGUGCGCAGGCGGUUUUGUAAGACAGUGGUGAAAUCCCCGGGCUCAACCUGGGAACUGCCAUUGUGACUGAAAGGCUAGAGUGCGGCAGAGGGGGAUGGAAUUCCGCGUGUAGCAGUGAAAUGCGUAGAUAUGCGGAGGAACACCGAUGGCGAAGGCAAUCCCCUGGGCCUGCACUGACGCUCAUGCACGAAAGCGUGGGGAGCAAACAGGAUUAGAAACCCCGGUAGUCC